rnacentral:rRNA from 1 species
AAUAGCUCAAAUUUGAAAUCUAGCGUCUUCGGCGUCCGAGUUGUAAUUUGUAGAGGAUGCUUCUGGGCAGCCACCGACCUAAGUUCCUUGGAACAGGACGUCAUAGAGGGUGAGAAUCCCGUAUGCGGUCGGAAAGGCACCCUACACGUAGCUCCUUCGACGAGUCGAGUUGUUUGGGAAUGCAGCUCUAAAUGGGAGGUAAAUUUCUUCUAAAGCUAAAUAUUGGCCAGAGACCGAUAGCGCACAAGUAGAGUGAUCGAAAGAUGAAAAGCACUUUGGAAAGAGAGUUAAAAAGCACGUGAAAUUGUUGAAAGGGAAGGGAUUGCAACCAGACUUGCUCGCGGUGUUCCGCCGGUCUUCUGACCGGUCUACUCGCCGCGUUGCAGGCCAGCAUCGUCUGGUGCCGCUGGAUAAGACUUGAGGA